CCACAGACUUCCCUUGUUGAGGUGAGGCAGCGCCUUCGACGUCUCUGACUCCUAGGCCAGGUGUGUGUCUAGCUCCGUGAUGGAAGGUGCCAGCUUCCCUUGUAAGUGACCAGCAUGGGCUCUGCUUCACCCUUCCGGGCUCCCAGCUUACCCAGACCUUAGCAGUCUGCUGACUCCAGCUUUCAGCAGAGCAGAAACAACGCCUUGGGAAGACUUAAA
rnacentral:lncRNA from 1 species